rnacentral:misc_RNA from 1 species
UCCGGUUUAACACCGGCAGUCUGCCUAGAGUCCCCACCUUGCGGCGAUGGUAACUAGACAUAAGGGUUGCGCUCGUUAUCGGACUUAACCGGACAUCUUACGACACGAGCUGACGACAGCCAUGCAGCACCUAUCUCCAGGUCCCCGAAGGGAAACUAUGAUCUCUCAUAGCGUCCUGGGAUGUUAAGGGUAGGUAAGGUUCUGCGCGUUGCUUCGAA